GGAUAUAGUUCAGUUGGUUAGAGCGUCAGAUUGUGGUUCUGAAUGUCGUGGGUUCGAAUCCCACUAUC
rnacentral:tRNA from 1 species